rnacentral:tRNA from 1 species
GCCCCCGUAGUUCAAUGGAUAGAACACGGGCCUUCUAAGCCUGAAAUGCAGGUUCGAUUCCUGCCGGGGGCGCC